GAGCGCUACUACGAGGACCCGGCGCUGCUGCAGUUCCACAAGCGCGGAGGCAGCCUCGACCUCAUCUCCCUCCCGAGGGACUUCUCCCACUUCUCUUCCGUCCACAUGUAUGAUGUCGUGGUCAAGAACCGAGACUCGUUCCGCGUCGUUGAUGCCUAG
rnacentral:rRNA from 1 species